rnacentral:rRNA from 1 species
GCUUACGGCCAUAUCAGCCUGGGUACGCCCGAUCUCGUCUGAUCUCGGAAGCUAAGCAGGGUCGGGCCUGGCUAGUACUUGGAUGCGGAGACGGCCUGGGAAUACCAGGUGCUGUAAGCA